rnacentral:rRNA from 1 species
UACGAAGGGGGCUAGCGUUGCUCGGAAUCACUGGGCGUAAAGGGCGCGUAGGCGGCCGGCCAGGUCGGGGGUGAAAGCCUGUGGCUCAACCACAGAAUGGCCCUCGAUACUGGACGGCUCGAGACCGGAAGAGGUUGGUGGAAUUGCGAGUGUAGAGGUGAAAUUCGUAGAUAUUCGCAAGAACACCGGUGGCGAAGGCGGCCAACUGGUCCGGAUCUGACGCUGAGGCGCGAAAAGCGUGGGGAGCAAACAGG